GUGUCUCAUGAUAUGAAUUGCUAUAUAUUUUGAGAAACAGCUUUCGACGCGAAGCUGACAUUUGGUAAACAUGCGAGGUUUUCGAUGGACGGCACCGUCUGACGCACGGGGAUCCUGUGGAACUUUUCCUUUUAUGGGAUGGAUCCCGGUCAUUCUGCUAUUGUUCUAAGGCACUGGGGCAUAGCCAAGGGAUUGAACUCCACUGACAAGAGAGUUUCCCGCCAGUUGGAGGACUUUCGCUCGGUUUUUCGGCGUCUUGAAAGUUUUAAUCGCACGAAAAAGAGCGCCCAGGAGAGCAAUCUCCUUAGGAAACUGGGCGCUCGUCGAAAGCAUCUCCAUCAUGGCGGCUGCGGGUGGUGCUGUCCGCGAAGGUUAUGCCGCAAUGCAGCCGUGCUUGUUUAAUAGAUAAGUGUGAUUUUAUUGCUUUGUUGAAGGAAAAUAAAAGCCUCCUAGUUGGAA